ACAUAUAUACACAUAUAUACGUAUAUGUGUGUAUAUACAUAUAUACACACAUAUACGUAUAUAUGUGUAUAUACGUA
rnacentral:pre_miRNA from 1 species